UGGGGAAUCUUAGACAAUGGGGGAAACCCUGAUCUAGCCAUGCCGCGUGAUCGAUGAAGGCCUUAGGGUUGUAAAGAUCUUUCAGUGGGGAAGAUAAUGACUGUACCCACAGAAGAAGCCCCGGCUAACUCCGUGCCAGCAGCCGCGGUAAUACGGAGGGGGCUAGCGUUGUUCGGAAUUACUGGGCGUAAAGCGCACGUAGGCGGAACAGAAAGUCAGAGGUGAAAUCCCAGGGCUCAACCUUGGAACUGCCUUUGAAACUCCUGUUCUUGAGGUCGAGAGAGGUGAGUGGAAUUCCGAGUGUAGAGGUGAAAUUCGUAGAUAUUCGGAGGAACACCAGUGGCGAAGGCGGCUCACUGGCUCGAUACUGACGCUGAGGUGCGAAAGCGUGGGGAGCAAA
rnacentral:rRNA from 1 species